AAUUUUGGACAAUGGGGGAAACCCUGACCCAGCCAUCCCGCGUGUAUGAUGAAGGCCUUCGGGUUGUAAAGUACUUUUGGCAGAGAAGAAAAGGUAUCUCCUAAUACGAGAUCCUGCUGACGGUAUCUGCAGAAUAAGCACCGGCUAACUACGUGCCAGCGGCUGCGGUAAUACGUAGGGUGCAAGCGUUAAUCGGAAUGACUGGGCGUAAAACAGGUUUAGGAGGUUCAGAAAGAAGGAUGUAAAAACCCAGGGCUCAACCAUGGAGCUGCAUUUUUAACUGCCGAGCUAGAGUAUGUCAGAGGGGGGUAGAAUUCCACGUGUAGCAGUGAAAUGCGUAGAUAUGUGGAGGAAUACCGAUGGCGAAGGCAGCCCCCUGGGAUAAUACUGACGCUCAGACACGAAAGCGUGGGGAGCAAACA
rnacentral:rRNA from 1 species